rnacentral:rRNA from 1 species
AGCGAACGCUGGCGGCAGGCCUAACACAUGCAAGUCGAACGAACCUUUCGGGGUUAGUGGCGGACGGGUGAGUAACACGUGGGAACGUGCCUUUAGGUUCGGAAUAACUCAGGGAAACUUGUGCUAAUACCGAAUGUGCCCUUCGGGGGGAAGAUUUAUCGCCUUUAGAGCGGCCCGCGUCUGAUUAGCUAGUUGGUUGAGGUAAUGGCUCACCAAGGCGACGAUCAGUAGCUGGUCUGAGAGGAUGAUCAGCCACAUCGGGACUGAGACACGGCCCAAACUCCUACGCGAGGCAGCAGUGGGGAAUCGUGCGCAAUGGGCGAAAGCCUGACGGAGCCAUGACGCGUGAAUGAUGAAGGUCUUAGGAUUGUAAAAUUCUUUCACCGGGGACGAUAAUGACGGUACCCGGAGAAGAAGCCCCGGCUAACUUCGUG